rnacentral:rRNA from 1 species
AUUGAACGCUGGCGGCAUGCCUUACACAUGCAAGUCGAACGGCAGCACGGGUGCUUGCACCUGGUGGCGAGUGGCGAACGGGUGAGUAAUACAUCGGAACAUGUCCUGUAGUGGGGGAUAGCCCGGCGAAAGCCGGAUUAAUACCGCAUACGAUCUACGGAUGAAAGCGGGGGACCUUCGGGCCUCGCGCGAUAGGGUUGGCCGAUGGCUGAUUAGCUAGUUGGUGGGGUAAAGGCCUACCAAGGCGACGAUAAGUAUCUGGUCUGAGAGGACGACCGGCCACACUGGGACUGAGACACGGCCCAGACUCCUACGGGAGGCAGCAGUGGGGAAUUUUGGACAAUGGGCGAAAGCCUGAUCCAGCAAUGCCGCGUGUGUGAAGAAGGCCUUCGGGUUGUAAAGCACUUUUGUCCGGAAAGAAAUCCUUGGCCCUAAUACGGUCGGGGGAUGACGGUACCGGAAGAAUAAGCACCGGCUAACUACGUG